UGAGUGCGAGAGUGCGCUGGUAAUUGCGAUGGUUGACGGGAAUCCGGUGAGAGUCCGGAGCGGUCGCGCCACUGUGAUCGAGGCACACCCUCGACAGCCAGAUACCGGGGCCAUCGCAUGGGCUUUUAA
rnacentral:ncRNA from 2 species